AUGAUAGUUUCCAGCCCAAAAUCAAUUUUGGGCUGGCAAGGCUUCUACCAGAUGAUCAGACUCAUCUUAUUAGUACCAGAUCUGCUGGAACAUUGUAAGUUAAAUUACUUUCCCACAGGCAUAACCCCUGAUGGAGAUCUAUAUGAUCAUUACUCUUCUACAAUAUUUAUACCGGUAUUGUGUUUUGCCCUACUUACCAUUCUAUCCGCACACAAAAAGUGUUAUGAAUCUACUACAUACAUCUUGUGUAGCCGAAGAGGACUAGUAUAUCUCCACCAUCAUGGUGAUGCUCUCUAG
rnacentral:lncRNA from 1 species